CGAAAAGGCCCCACAAGCUCAUCUUUGAUGAUACCAGCCCAAACCAGUACUCCACCUCCACCUUGCUGGCGUCUGAGUGGGACUGGAGCUCUCUGCCCUUUACCAAUCCAGCCACGGGCCCAUCCAUCUGGCCCAUCAAGACUCACUCUCAUUUCAUCAGUCCAUAAAACCUUAAAAAAUCAGUCUUGAGAUAUUUCUUGGCCCAGUCUUGACGUUUCAGCUUGUGUGUCUUGUUCAGUGGUGGUCGUCUUUCAGCCUUUCUUACCU